rnacentral:rRNA from 1 species
AGCAGCCGCGGUAAUUCCAGCUCCAAUAGCGUAUAUUAAAGUUGUUGCAGUUAAAAAGCUCGUAGUUGAAUUUCGGGAUUAGUACGCUGGUCGUGCCUUCGGUAUGUACUGGUGUUACUGGUUCCUACCUUCUGACGAACCGUCAUGUCAUUAAUUUGGUGUGGCGGGGAAUCAGGACUGUUACUUUGAAAAAAUUAGAGUGUUUAAAGCAGGCUCGCGCUUGAAUACAUUAGCAUGGAAUAAUGAAAUAGGACGUUCGAUCCUAUUUUGUUGGUUUCUAGGAUUGACGUAAUGAUUAAUAGGGAUAGUUGGGGGCAUUAGUAUUCAAUUGUCAGAGGUGAAAUUCUUGGAUUUAUUGAAGACUAACUACUGCGAAAGCAUUUGCCAAGGAUGUUUUCAUUAAUCAAGAACGAAAGUUAGGGGAUCGAAGACGAUCAGAUACCGCCGUAG